GGAAACCAGGAAGAGAAAGAGAAUUACCACAGUAAGAACUGCCAUACCUACUUGAAGGAGAGUUUUCUCCCAUCCACUCAUCCAUCCAAACCAUCUGUCCCAUAAAUUGGGGACUCCAGAAUUCCUCUUUAAUUCAUGAGAAAGACUUUCCAAUUUCUCUAUAGCCAUGGUUACCUUACCGUUAGGGCCUGUAUUGUCUGGGAUGAAAGUACAGCAUGUCAUAGUAUCAGGGAG